CAAGGGCGGAAUCAGCAUAAGCCACCAGCGGCGCAGGGGAGGAGGCGCCGCGCGUGGAAGGAACGCCAGUCACUCCUUCCACAUGUCGUGGUGGAAAUCCGCCGAACCCAAUGCCUUGGUUCGCGCAGUCAAUCCAUGAUCCUCCUCCCUCCAGCUCCACAGAACUCCCCCUCCUCCGCCUAUAGGGUUUCGGCAUCGCCGGCUCUCCAUGUUCGCCUGGAGUCCCGGCGAUCACAUUGUUGCCCUCCUCCGAGAUGCGGAAGAAUUCGUUCGAUGGCGGCGACUAGAAGAUCACAGCUAUUAUGGAGCUGAUGUUGGUGGUGAUGCUUACAUUAUCUCCGAUGCCCACCGAGUCAUGUUCGUGUUCCUCUUCAAGCAAAGUCAUGACAUGUAGCAGAUCAGUAACAUCACUACACAAAGAUUCAAAGAUGUAAGAUGCAGAAGACCAGUCAUACCGGUUUGGGAACCUCCGAGUGGCACAAAAGGGAAGGGCUGGCCCAGGUUAUCACCAUGAUUGGAUCAUCGCCUGUGUAGUAGCAGCUUGUUGCAUGGGUACAAAAUUACAGGAGUUUGAGUGCGGCGGACUGAUCUCGGACCCCUUUUUGUUGCAUGACCAUUCUAAACUUACAAAGUGGCGAAGUCACUGAUAAAAGCUCGUGUGAUCCUGAGCUUUUGUGCUCAUCUACUUUUCUUUUUCUUGCAACCGCUCAGGCACUAGAUGAGGUUAAAAUUGGGUUGAUUCUGUGGGUUACAAUAUCGCACAUCUUAGGCAAAUCAGCUCUGUUUGUGACGAAAUGAUGCAAUUGUAUGAAUUGGUGUGUAUUAUUCUAUAUCAAUGUCACUUCAUUCA